GUUUUAUGUCCGUUAAAAGGAGGGUCAAAGAUUUACAAUAAUUAAAAGGUGUGAUUAUAAAUAAUUUAAGCGGAUUGGCUUUUUAUGAAACUAUAAAAUAUAAAUUCACGAUCACUGCUUGAAUUUAUCUAUAUAGAUUCACAGUGACCUGUGACAUUUGACAUUUCAGGGCCGUAGGAAUAGGGGGUCCAGGGGGAGACGCCCUCCCCCGCCAAUAAUUUGACCGAUUAUGGUAAUUAUCUUAGCAAUGUUUUGACAGCGAGUCAAUUUUAGCUGAUUUUCAUAAUGUGUGUCCCCCAUCCAAAUCUGAAAUGCUUCCUACGGUCUAGGCAUUUACCUAGAGCAUUUUAUUUUCAAGGGAAAUAAUUGUGGUCUGACUAUUAUUUUGAAAAUCACAGUUGAGAUUUUUUUAUGUGUGCACCGGUACAGUUCUGCGGGGAAGCGAAAGUUGCUGGAAUUUUGUCUUCUUCUAAAAACAAGUGUCUGAUACAUGUAGUUGCAGUCUGUCUUUGGAAGCUGUAGAAAUAACAAGAAAGAGGCUGACAUAGUGUUUUGGUAGGGAAAAGUUUGAGUAUGUACAUGUACAAUUGUUUGACCUGUCUUAACCUGUGGCAGUCCGAUAAGAUGUUACCAUUAUGAAAAAUGCAGGAGAACUUGAAGACAAUGGUUAGUGCAGAAGGGACAUAAAAGUUAUGAUAAAAGUAACAUAUAUAAAUAAGAAGUGCUACAAGGGUGUUGUCAUGUGAAAUGGAAUUUACCCCAACUGUGCUGCAUGAUGUAUAUUCAAGUGCGAGACAGUCAUGUACCAGCUGUAAACUGAGAUGGACCCAUAUAAUAAAUAUGUUGAUUUUUCUAUGUAUUACCAUCUGUACAGAAUGUGUUCAUGACAAGACUGUAUACAUAUAUUGUUAAAUCAUUUUUUAUUUCCAUUAUUGCAUGCAUGUAAGAAGCAAGCAUUUAACAAUUACAUUCAUAGAAAUGUUAAAAUGUGAUCAAUCUAAUUUAAAGAAACACAUUUAAUUGGACUUUAAGGUUUCAUAGUAUUUGUGGUGGAGAUUGACCCAGUCAUUCAGCAACUUGUACUGUCUGUGUGUCAUUUCUUGUAUGUUAUAGUUUUCUUAAUAAUACAUUAAAUGUCAAAGUUAUGGUAAGAUUAACUCAUUCAUCACUUGUAGAUUAAUGUUAAAGCAGUUCAACAUUUUACCAUAAGUUAACUAAUAUUCUAUUUAACCAGAGUUGUCACAUAUUUUCAUAUAAACAUUUGUAUAAUACAGUCUAAUCUAAUCUACAAAUGAUGUUCCACAAUUUUUUAGUUAUAUUUUAUGUUGAUAUUUUAUGUUGUUUUCAUGUCUCAACAUAUAAUUACUAACAUCAAAGAAACGUAUGUAUUUUACAAUUUGGUUGGUAUAAAUGGUUGUUUUGUUUAUAUAUAUUUUUUUCCAUCCAGGAGAAUAAAGAAAUAUACAUUUCAAAAUAUCUCAUCAUUCCAGAUAAGUACACUACAUAAUCAAGAUAAAAGAAAUAAAUUUGAUAUACAUUCUUUGUAGUAUUUACUUCUUUAGGUAUGUUGGACUGAAAUGGAAAUAACAACAUACUUUAAAUUUUUGUAGUAAUAAGUUAAUAUGGGAAUUAUUAACUUAACUUAACUUAAACAGAUUUUAUCUCACUGUUAUGCCAUCUGAGCUUUAACAGUUUUCAACAUUGUCAUUGGCAACAAGGCUCAAAAUUAUUUGUUGUGUAUACCUUACAUUCUUUGACUUUGACUUUGACGAAAAUCCUCAACUUCAUCCGCAGGCGGACAUCGUGUUGAGUGGGAGGGGUUAAAAACUGCAACGUGCUGUACAAUUUGUGGGUGUCGGUUGUUCCCAAAAUAAACUCAUUUAUCAUGUGUGAUAAAUGCUUUUAUGGUAUUCUUUAAUAUAAUUUAUGCUUUUCAUCUUACCAUGGAUUAAAAAAAUAUAAAAAUAUUUGUCUGAUAAUAUAAUAUAAGAAAGCUUAUUUGAGAUAAAGGGAGGUAAUUCCAUAAAAGAUAUGUAGAAUGUAGAUAAUAAAUAUAAUGAAGGGAGGUAAUAAAAUAUUGUGAAGUUAUUAGUCUUCAUUUCUUUGAUGAGCUAAUUAAUUGUUUUACAUUUUGGUUUAUUAACUACAAGUAUGACCUAACAUGUGUACCUGUCCUGAAGGUAAAUAAGAAAGGUUGUUUGAUGUCCUUGUACUGUUAAGUUGUUCCUGUAUUUGUUUACAUUCCAUGUCUGAAUGAAAUGAAGAAACAGACUUUAAUGAGGGUAUCCCGGGAAAAUACCUAAGUUUAUUUUUAUAUCAGCAAAUUUGAUGAGAUAGUCAUUCAGGAGUUGUCUAUCCUAUUUCCAAAAAUGCUAUGGGGACUAAAUUUUUUGGAGUAAAUAUCUCUUUUAAAAAAUAACACACAGCAUUUUAAUAUUGUAUAUAUAUUAUCUGAUGCACUUAGCAAUAUAUAUUUGGAGUCAAAAUGUUAAAAAUUCCGGUUUUAAUUUUUUAGUUACAAUGUCUAUACGGUCCUGCAUUUUCGGAUGAGUGUUUAUAAGUAAUAUAUUAUAAGGUUUUCAAACAAAGUAGAAGCGUCAAGUUAUUGCCUUUUUAAUUGACCGGCAUCAAAAUAAUUCAUCUUAUAAAUAAACGAUUAUUAUUAAUUAUUUUUCUGAAGAGGUCAAA